CCCCUCAAAACCAUCGAGGAACUGAGGGAAACUAAUACUUCUCUGGAGGAUUCCUCCAGAUUGAGAUCAGCGGUUGGGCAACUCGGAGUGGCAGGAGGCGUGUCAACAGGAGACACAAUACGCAGAGUUUUGUCAAUGCUAAUGACAAACUCGGUCGCCAAGCAGGUGAAUUGGAAGGGGACUUCAGGAAAAGAACCCUUCCAACAGAUGAGACUGAAGGAAGUUGUUAUUAAGGCAGCACGGAAGAACCCGGUAUGUUUAAAGGCGUCCGACUGCGAGCUGGAAAGCCACAUUAAAUUGUGGUUCCGAUAUGCCCGGACAGGGACGGUGGUAGGAGGGAGAGGACCCUGCUUGCCAAGCAGAAGAAGAGCGCUGCUGCUGCUACUGCAGCAGCUGAGACAAGCACAGAAUAAACUGUGUACUUAUCUGCUAUCCUAUUGUAUUCAUUCAUUCAAAUUUUUAUUUCAUUGCAUUCUAUUAUAAGAGAGAUAAUUAAAGUUGUUAAAAUGCA